rnacentral:rRNA from 1 species
AACCUGCGGAAGGAUCAUUAAAAAUAUUAUUACACACUUUUAGGAAAAAACAACUGAACCUUUUUUUUCAAUAACACAAUUAAAAAACUUUCAACAACGGAUCUCUUGGUUCUCGCAUCGAUGAAGAACGCAGCGAAUUGCGAUACGUAAUAUGACUUGCAGACGUGAAUCAUUGAAUCUUUGAACGCACAUUGCGCCCCGGGGUAUUCCCCAGGGCAUGCGUGGGUGAGCGAUAUUUACUCUCAAACCUCCGGUUUGGUCCUGCUUCGGCCUAAUAUCAACGGCGCUAGAAUAAGUUUUAGCCCCAUUCUUUUUCCUCACCCUCGUAAGACUACCCGCUGAACUUAAGCAUAUCAAUAAGCGGAGGAAAAGAAACCAACAGGGAUUGCCUCAGUAACGGCGAGUGAAGCGGCAAAAGCUCAAAUUUGAAAUCCCCCGGGAAUUGUAAUUUGAAGAGAUUUGGGUCCGGCCGGCGGGGGUUAAGUCCACUGGAAAGUGGCGCCACAGAGGGUGACAGCCCCGUGAACCCCUUCAACGCCCUCAUCCCAGAUCUCCAAGAGUCGAGUUGUUUGGGAAUGCAGCUCUAAGUGGGUGGUAAAUUCCAUCUAAAGCUAAAUACCGGCGAGAGACCGAUAGCGAACAAGUACAGUGAUGGAAAGAUGAAAAGCACUUUGAAAAGAGAGUGAAAAAGUACGUGAAAUUGUUGAAAGGGAAGGGCUUGCAAGCAGACACUUAACUGGGCCAGCAUCGGAGCGGCGGGAAACAAAACCACCGGGGAAUGUACCUCUCGAGGAUUAUAACCCCGGUCUCAAUUUCCUUGUUGCCCCGAGGCCUGCAAUCUAAGGAUGCUGGCGUAAUGGUUGCAAGUCGC